rnacentral:lncRNA from 1 species
UAAUGCCUUUUAAGAACUAUCUGAGCCUUGCAAUUAUUUAUUCGUCUAGGGUUUGAGCCAAGCAAUGGCGUGGAAUGGGGAGAGCAGGGCUGAACGUAAUCACUGCCGGACUGCAGAGACCUCCCUGGUGGGCUUUCGGAUCUGGCUUCACGUUCCCUUAAUUGGGUUUCUACGGGCUGGGGACCACACCAACCACACUGGUCUCUGACGAGCAUUUUUACCAGGGUGCAGUGUAUGAGGGCCUGAAGGUUUAAGAGAAAAGUAGCAGACUAUCAAUCGGCAUAAUGGAUGUUGAGCUAGGUGCACCAAGAACUUAUCUUGGACAAGAGCACCAGAAAAUUUGACAGAUACUAUUUCAACAUGAUAAUGGACAACUUGGUGAGUCUUCUGAAUUUCAUCUCUGCAUGGUAAGAUAGUACUAGUUUAUAACCUACUCCUCGAGUUGUGUGAUCAGUUAUGGUUUUAUGGUUAUACGGUUAUUAUCCACUGAGGCCUAGUAGAAGCCAAGAGCUCUUUCAUAAAUGAAUAAAGCAGAAAAAGGCAUGCUUUUGCUUAAAAGUACUGCACUCACCUGGGAUUUUCUUAUCUAAGAUUUCUGUAUGUUUCAUCUAGUCUGCUGACCUA